rnacentral:rRNA from 1 species
AAAUUGAAGAGUUUGAUCAUGGCUCAGAUUGAACGCUGGCGGCAGGCCUAACACAUGCAAGUCGAACGGUAACAGGAAACAGCUUGCUGUUUCGCUGACGAGUGGCGGACGGGUGAGUAAUGUCUGGGAAACUGCCUGAUGGAGGGGGAUAACUACUGGAAACGGUAGCUAAUACCGCAUAAUGUCGCAAGACUAAAGAGGGGGACCUUCGGGCCUCUUGCCAUCGGAUGUGCCCAGAUGGGAUUAGCUAGUAGGUGGGGUAACGGCUCACCUAGGCGACGAUCCCUAGCUGGUCUGAGAGGAUGACCAGCCACACUGGAACUGAGACACGGUCCAGACUCCUACGGGAGGCAGCAGUGGGGAAUAUUGCACAAUGGGCGCAAGCCUGAUGCAGCCAUGCCGCGUGUAUGAAGAAGGCCUUCGGGUUGUAAAGUACUUUCAGCGGGGAGGAAGGGAGUAAAGUUAAUACCUUUACUCAUUGACGUUACCCGCAGAAGAAGCACCGGCUAACUCCGUGCCAGC